UUGUUUUUUUCUUCCACUUUUUAGCCCAAGUUUCCUUAGGUUCGUUCUUGAUUGAUUAUUGUAAAAAAAAAAAAAAAAAAAAAAAAAAAAAAAAUAUUUACUUUGCGUACUGUCUCUGCUUCCUCAGUCUCUCGAACCUGUAUCCUUACCUUUUUGUCUUACAUCAGUUUAGUUUCCUGCUCUUUAUAUCCUGGGAUGCAAGUCCCCAGGUGGAAUUGUAGGUCCCUCCUUGGUUAUCUUUAAGUUUCCCCCUUCCCCUUUAAUUAUAAACCCACCACUACUUGCCACACUUGGUGUUGUUGGCAGGAUGACUGAAGGCAGAGACUUGUAGUUUUCUUUUCUUGUAACCCAAUUGAUUUUUGCUGCACAGAUUGGUUUAUUUGUUUUGUAGAACAGCAGCAGGGCUGGGCGGCUCUUGUCACAACCAUUAUCUCUUACCUCUCCUGAUUUGUAUCCUCAUGGAGGAGAUUGCCCAGCUAAGAGACUUGAUCACUCAGCUGCAAGCUGAGAACCAACAGAUGCGUCGGGAAUGGGAGGUUAACCAGCUUGGGCUGAGCACAUCAUCUGGCAGUUCAUCAGCCUGUGGGCCCUCCUUGGCUUCAGCCUCAGUAACUGAAAGACUGAUCUAUCUCCACAGGGGCAGAAAAUGCCCAUUGUUUAGGGGGAGGACCAGACUAAACAUUGGGAGUGGACUGAAGGGAUCCAUGCCUGCAUACGGGCCUGUCUCCAGCAGACCAAUCGCUUUUCAUCUACGACCACCUGGAAGGAGAAGCAUGGGAGGAAAUCAAAUAUCGGCCUCCAGAGGAAAGGGGAGAUCCAGACAAGGAACCAUCAGGAGCCAGCCUGUCUGCUGCUUGGACGGAGGAGUGUGAGCAGGGAUUCGAGGGCCUGAAAAGCAGGUUGGUGUCUGCUCCAGUCCUGGCCUAUGCCAACUACUCAUUACCCUUCAUCUUGGAGGUUGACGCCAGCUACAGUGGACUGGGUGCCGUACUCUCCCAAGAACAAGAGGGAAGCUGAUCUCAUAAUCAAAGACUUCUGGAGGUUUUGGACUAGAAAGAGGGCCCCUGAUGCAGCAGAAUGACGCCAGGCUUCCAAGGAGGUUCUUGUGCUGGCCAGACAGUGGGACAAGGUGGUGAUGAGACGAGGGGUGAUCUAGCGCUGUGUCGCCCUCCCUAGAGGAGACGAAGUGCUCCACUUGGUACUCCCUGCAUCUCAGACAAGUUCAAGAUUCAAGACACAAGUACUUCAGCAAUUGCAUGAUGACCAUGGACACCAGGGUGCUGAGCGAACAACAAAGCUGGUUAGCCAGUGGUGCUAUUGGCCUGGAUGCACCAAGACAUUAAAGAGUGGUGUCAGAAAUGCGAGCACUGCCAGGUAGCGAAAGACAUGGAGCUUACUGCCUGUGCGUAUAUGGGUCACUUGCUUCUCGUCCAAAACAGGUCCUGGCUAUUGAUUUCACUAUUCUGGAGCCCUUGAGGAAUGGGGUGGAGAACAUCCUGGUCAUAACCGAUGUUUUUUCAAUAUAUCCCCCAGCUAUCCCAACCCACGAUCAGUGGCCAUCGACUCGAUGGCCACUGUAGAGUGCUGGUUAAUGAGUGGUUCUACAAGUUUGA